AUGCGGGUGCUAUAAUGCAGUCGACGAGUUCUCGUUGAUGAUCGGUGCUUGCACCGAGAUUCAACAUGGAACGAGUGGCGGACGGGUGAGUAACACGUGGGUAACCUGCCCUUAAGUGGGGGAUAACAUUUGGAAACAGAUGCUAAUACCGCAUAGAUCCAAGAACCGCAUGGUUCUUGGCUGAAAGAUGGCGUAAGCUAUCGCUUUUGGAUGGACCCGCGGCGUAUUAGCUAGUUGGUGAGGUAAUGGCUCACCAAGGCGAUGAUACGUAGCCGAACUGAGAGGUUGAUCGGCCACAUUGGGACUGAGACACGGCCCAAACUCCUACGGGAGGCAGCAGUAGGGAAUCUUCCACAAUGGACGCAAGUCUGAUGGAGCAACGCCGCGUGAGUGAAGAAGGCUUUCGGGUCGUAAAACUCUGUUGUUGGAGAAGAAUGGUCGGCAGAGUAACUGUUGUCGGCGUGACGGUAUCCAACCAGAAAGCCACGGCUAACUACGUGCCACACCCCGCGGUAAAA
rnacentral:rRNA from 1 species